rnacentral:rRNA from 1 species
GACGAACGCUGGCGGCGUGCCUAAUACAUGCAAGUCGAACGAGAGCAACCGGUGCUUGCACUGGUCAAUCUAGUGGCGAACGGGUGAGUAACACGUGGGUAACCUGCCCAUCAGAGGGGGAUAACAUCCGGAAACGGAUGCUAAAACCGCAUAGGUCUUCGAACCGCAUGGUUUGAAGAGGAAAAGAGGCGCAAGCUUCUGCUGAUGGAUGGACCCGCGGUGCAUUAGCUAGUUGGUGAGGUAACGGCUCACCAAGGCCGUGAUGCAUAGCCGACCUGAGAGGGUGAUCGGCCACAUUGGGACUGAGACACGGCCCAAACUCCUACGGGAGGCAGCAGUAGGGAAUCUUCCGCAAUGGACGCAAGUCUGACGGAGCAACGCCGCGUGAGUGAAGAAGGUUUUCGGAUCGUAAAACUCUGUUGUUAGAGAAGAACAAGUGCUAGAGUAACUGUUAGCGCCUUGACGGUAUCUAACCAGAAAGCCACGGCUAACUACGAG